AAAGAAAGAGAAUGCCGUGAGGAGGAGAGAAAGAAAAUCAUGGAACCUCCUAGCUUUUAAGUUUGAUUUUUUGAGAUUUUUAAUUUCCGUAAAAAAUUUGAACUAAUUAAAGUGUUUGUAUCUUCCUUUUCUUCACGAUGACGUCACUUUUGUUCGGGAGAAAUCGACGUUCUCAUUAUGCUGUUGCGGUAGUGCUGUUUUGCUGCUGGUAGCAUAUCUGACUCCUUUUAAAAAGGGAUCAACUGUAAUUUAUGUUGCAGAGGGAGCUAGACAGAUUUACUUCAAAAGACUAAUGCUACGGAUGCUUGUAUUGAGGGACAUUGGUGGAUAUAUUCAACAAAAGGGGCUAAUGACUUUGGUCAACUAGGUGAUGGAACCGAGGAGCGAAGGAAAUAUCCAAAGAAAGUGAAGCUAUUAGAAUCAGAAUUCGUAGAAUUUGUGUCCUCCAUAAUUCUUAAUUCUCUUCUUAGAAAUUCAUUUUUGAUAAUGUGUGUAAAUUUCAUGUACACGACCGUUGCACGUAUACAGAUAACAGUAUAGGCUUUUACCAAGUAUUGAAUGUAGGAACAUAAAUUUGAGUGUUCA